AUACUUACCUGGAAGGGCAACUCCAUGCUCACGAAGGUGGUUUCUCCAGGGUGAGACUCGCCCAUUGCAUUCUGGGUGUGUGACCUCUAUGAUUUCUCCAAAUGUAGGAAACUCGACUGCAUAAUUUAUGGUGGUGAGGGACUGCAUGUGCACUCUCCUC